UCUGUUCUGAAAUUUAAGGAGAAAAUAUAUUGUAGGCCAGCAAUCCCAAGAGACAGCAUGUUUCUACUACACAACAGCGUGCCGCUUGGACCCUUAUGGGGGGGAGGAAGGCUGUGCUUGGAGGGGUGUAACAGCUCUGGGAACGCGUCUGUGCCACCACUUCUGAGAACCUCAGCUGCCCUGCUUGGCUCGAACCCUCCUGCAGCUGCUGCCAUGGUCCGCAGGAGGCACCAUGUUGUCCCACCACCUCCCUGAGACCAGGCAGGGAGGAGGAGGAGGAGGAGCGGAGGGGCAGCCCUGCUCCCCUCUCCAGCCCAGGCCUUCGCUAGCUGCUGGCGGCAGCCACGGGGCCACCUGACCUGGACGUGCAAGUUUUACCAUUACGUGGUGGCAGCAGGCGCCCACGAGCCCCCGCAAAGCUGGAGCCCAGACAGAGCAGUUGAAGGGUCAGAUUUAUUUCAGGACGCUUAAACCGACAGUUGCGGUUGCUUGUUUACAAAGAGACCACGUGCCAUGGGGAACUCGGCCUGAAAAGGGGAAACAAAUGUCCCGGGAGGUGUGACGGCCACUCAACUUUCAUUGAUUGAUCCAAAGACUAUAAACCGAUUUAAGCCUGUUCCAGGAUUCUCUGGUCCCGUAGAAAAGGCUGUUUCAGAGCAAAGCCUGCAAGGAGACUACAUCAUGAAGACUUGCCUUCUUUUCACGCCUGGAUGCUACACUGACAGCAGCGCCUUUAUGCCUCAGAGGUGGGAAUUUCAGACUGGUCUCGUAAUGAAGAGCAACUUAAGCUGCUUCAGGCAAAAGCAAACCUGCUCUUAGCAUUUCCUAAACUGAAAGUUAAACCCAUCCUCUCAGCACCAAAGCAAAUGCUCGAGUCUGACACCAGCAAGCAACACAGAAAAAGCACCACCAGAGAGCUGGCACUGUUCCUCCUUCCCCUUUUGUCAUCAGAUGCAAUAACUAGUUUCUAAGAUUAAUUCUCAGCAGGACCUAGGAAAAUCUGAGAUUCGAUGAAAAUGAGGAAUUUGUCUACGGUUCUGGUAGCGCCAACAGGGACAACCAUUUUUUCAGUCAAUACGUGAACUUUCCAGCCUCUCUCCCCAGCUGCAUCCUUGCCACAGACCAGUUUCGACCCUGCUGCCUGCAGCAGCCUCCUGUUUUCAAGACCCGAGCUCUGCCCCAGCAGGCAGGAAACCACAGAUGCGAUACUGAAAGAGCAGUGCUUGCCACUGAGCCAAAAAUGUGGGGGUUUUCAUACUACAAAAACAUUCUGCCCACUGCAGAAAAAUAUUGCUCAACUGUUUGCAGGUGAGGAUAUUGCAUGAAAAUCCCCUAUUUCAACUGAUUAACUUCUUUUUCUACCCUUCAUUCUAGAACUUGGAGGUGGGCUUUUGGUUUCAAAGCACCGUGGGACAAGGCCUGUGCACCAGCGUUGUUUUAAUGUUCGCUGUGCAGCAAGCCAGGCCUCUCGUGGGGGGACGAGGAUGAGCUCCAAGCACGGUCCUUGGCGCGGCCAUCUCCUGCCCGAGACUGGUGCAGAAUUCCUGCCCCAGGAAUGGGAUCCAAGAAAAACGAGGAGCACGCGCGUCUCCUGGACGCCUACGCUGGCUUCCCUGAGGACUCGGGGCUCCCAAGUCGUCAUAUAAGAGGACGAGCACUUUGGCUUCCUCCGAUCGCCAUGGAUGAGUGCAAGAAAAGCAGACGGCAUGAGACGCCCCAGGGAACUGCUCAUCCUCAAAGUACUCCAUUUACUGAUGAUGCAAGAAGCUGAGCUGCAUGAUCUAACGUGAACAGAAACCAGGUACUGGCAGGUACAGCAGUCUAAAUUCAUCAACUGUGACAAAAUGAACGUAAGGUAAAGCCCAGGUAUGCUGGUAGCAGAGGACCCUGAGAAAGGUGGAGCUAGAAGAGUGAUGGUCGGAGAUGGGAGGCUUGCACUUUCCCUUGUUCACUCAAAAUUGCAGCAUUUGACCCAGCAAAAGCUUAACAUGAUUAACCCUGAGCCCUGUGUGUCUGGGGCAUAUAUGUAUUAAGCAGUACACACUGCUCUAGAGCUAUCCCUCCUUAACUCUGCUUGCAAGUGCUCCUGCUGCUCAGUUGGUGUGAGGGAGUUUGCUCUGUUCUGACUGAGGAGGAAACUCUCCUACACUUGCAGUGCACAAGAAUAUGGGUGAAGGACGAAUCCGGAGCAGGUCUGACUGCACAAACUUUGUUCUCUGCAGGCACAAAGAGGAAACUUGGGAAGUGCUGCCCUCUCCUGCUGAGAACUGAUAGAGCCCUUAGAUGAGCACGGUGACACUUGGAAGUGGCAUCCCCUCAGUCAGAGGCUUCCACCCAGAUAACCGAGAGCAGGUUUGGCUUGAGCUUUGGACACCCGUGAAGAAUCCUGCCUGGUCAGCCCAGUGCUGCGUGACCUGGGCAGGAAGAUCACGUGCAACUCCCUGGCAGACCAAUGAAGACAGACUGCUGUAACAUGCAGACUGUUUUAUGCUUGGGACACUGGCUGUGCCCUAGAUGGUCUUCCAUGGUCUGAUGCAAAGAGGUUUCUCUGGGACAUUUUGGAGAGGCCAUAAAAGGUAUGCUAGCAUUGAGUUGCCACUCAACAUCUCCCUCCUCAUCUGCUGACUGCAGGGACUUCUCUCCGUAAUUCUGGGCUUCUUCAGCUUUGUUCAGUUCAAGGUAACAUCGGCCAAUUUCAUGGAACAACCAGGUCUUCUCCAGGCUGGAUUUUGCCAUUGGAAUCUUCUCCUCCCAACUUCAAGAAGAGACCCUAUAUAUUUUCUUCGGUGAUCAACAUGACAGCAGAAUAAGUGGUGAGGAGCAGAGUUAAAGGACCAACGUCAGACUGAAAGUCAAAACCAAGUGAGCUGGAGCUGCUGUUCCCAGCCCCUAGAGUUGCUGCCCUCCCUGCUGACCGAAUCAAGAAGAGGCCUACCUAAUGGGAGCCAGCUGUGAAUGCAUUCUGGCAAUGGAGGAACAGUGAAAAACAGUUCUUUAUCUUGGCCUGGUCAGAAGGAAGAAAGGAGCUUCAAAUGCUGUUGUAGAAGUAUUCCUUCCAGCAAGGCAACUGGGCCAAGAUCAGCUAUGUGAGUACAUGCAUAUCAGGCAAGGCAGGUGUUUCUGAAUGUGCCAAGCAAAGCCGAUUCAGUAAAGCAGUUUGGGGGAUGUGCCCUAUUGACAUAUGUGAAUUUCCCAGCUAUUUAAACAUCCAGAUCAAAUGCCAACAUGUUUCAUUGGGUUUUUUCCCCCCUAAAUCUAGGAGCUAUAGCUUGAUUAAAAAUGGCUUGUUUUUUAUCUGUUCACUUGUCUACAGCCCAGAUGCUCAAAGCGCUUAGCUCAAUAUAUCAAGCACAGCAAGCAUUUUAACUGAGAAUUGCAAUGAUAUCUAGAUACUUGGAUUAAGCUAAGAAAGGAGCAGCAAUGGAGGAAAGAAAGCCUCCUCUGGCACCUUCCCUAUCUGUUUUCAAAAUGAACAUCACAUAUGAAAAAGCUUCAGGCUUUGAUGCAACUGUGACAUGAAGUUAAUCUGUUGCACUGGAGGUGGACUGAAAUUUUGAAACUGAUUUCAGUGAGAGUGAGCCACCUAAAUAUCUUGAGGAUCAAGGCCUACGUGUAUGGGUGUGCAGGCAGGGUGUGUCCUGGCUCUGUGAGUGGAUAGGCUGCAAGGGGAUCCACCUGGGCGGUUCUGACUAGCUUGGCAGGUUUUGCAGUGGCCUUGCGAGCUCUGUGCAGGUUGCUCUGUGCGUGUGACAAAGCCAUCUGUGUAAGGUGGCAGCCCCAUCUGAGGUGUGUCUGUGCACCUGAGAGUGGGUGGACAUCAUGUCCACGCUUGUCUGCAUGUGAAAGCACUGCUGGGAGAAAAACUAAGGGAAAAGGGACAAGGUUUUGCUCUGCUUUGAACAUCACUAGGUCCUUGGCCUUUCCUGUCUCCUGCAGGAUGGAGUUCUAUGAUCUAUGCCAGAAAUUAUGAAAGCAGUGCUCCAUUGCAAUAGUAAACAGUUCCACUGGUCUUAUGCAAUGUAAAUUGGAGGGAGAUCAGGAUCUCAGAAUGGUCAAUCUCAGGCAGCAAGGCAAAUUUCAUUAAGUUUUAAUAUGGGGAUAAAGAUCUCAGAAUGGAUUCUGUAAUCAGUAGGAUAGGAGGCAGAAAGAUGAGCAGUAGGGCAUUAAGUAGAUGUGCUGCUUUCUCCUGUAUUACCUAGAAUAUUUUCAUGGUGACUUUAGAAAUGUAGUAAUCAAAAUUGUGCUAGGGUCAUAAUUUACUUUCAUAAUUGAAGUUAUUAGAUACUGUGUAUGAAUAGGCGUUUAGCCCCCCAAAAACCCCAAAACCAAGAACAGGGCUGUGGCUUUUUUGGUGGUUCCUGUUUUCAUCUAAGAAUAGUGAAUCCAGAAGCAAAAGGACUCUGCUGUUGCAAGGUCCCUGGGUCAUUUGCAGAGCUAAUAUGUCAUCAGCUAUCAAAUGGACAGCUUCUAGCUAUGCUUGUAAGUGCCAUGAAAUGCAACAUCUUACUUCCGAUGCAGUUAACAAUUGCCUCCUGGGAUUUCUGGAUACCCAGUCUGAAUUUCUGUAGUUCUGGACGUAGUCUGUAGCCUCGAUGAUAAAACACUAAUGCAAAUUCAAAGUCACCCAUGGUAUAGAGGGUCUCAGCUUUUUGAUAAAGUCCCUGAAAUGACAUUUAAAAAAAGACAUUGGAGACCUCAAUAAAUUCCUUGCUAGGCAGAAGUGAGAGCCUUAUGCCAUCUCAGCGUGCAUACAGUGAAGUCCAAUCCUGAAACUCUUGCUCGGAUGACUAACCGCCUCCGCCUCCCCGGGAGCACUAAGUUUAAGGUAACAUUUUGAGCGGGCAACUAGACAGUGCUUGUCGCCGGGUCGCAGCUGCAGCGCCUGGAACACAGGGGACAUGGAUGCGCAUUCGGGAAGCACGUAAGCUCAUGUAUGCGAUACAACCUGCUCCAAGC